rnacentral:ribozyme from 1 species
GCUGCUCAAAUCUUCACACACCUCUCCGUGGUGAGCAGCAGGCAACGAUUUAUUCAGAGCGGCUGAGAUGUGAAG